UACGUAGGGUGCAAGCGUUAUCCGGAAUUAUUGGGCGUAAAGAGCUCGUAGGCGGCUUGUCACGUCGGGUGUGAAAGCCCGGGGCUUAACCCCGGGUCUGCAUUCGAUACGGGCUAGCUAGAGUGUGGUAGGGGAGAUCGGAAUUCCUGGUGUAGCGGUGAAAUGCGCAGAUAUCAGGAGGAACACCGGUGGCGAAGGCGGAUCUCUGGGCCAUUACUGACGCUGAGGAGCGAAAGCGUGGGGAGCGAACAGG
rnacentral:rRNA from 1 species